CGCCACUCGAAAGAAAGGAAAAAAAAAAAAAAAAAGGUUCUUGCUCCCUCCACCAUCAUCAUCAUCACCGCUCUUCAUCAACACAACAGAAAUCUUCGAAUCUCAGGCUCAAGAUAAAAAGAUUCCUCGACCGGAUUGGAUUUCUCUGUCUCCACUUUUCUCCUUAAUCCACUGCUCAAACAAGUAUCAAUUGUAGAAAGGAGAUUUACAUGUUGCAUUUCACUUCUCAACGAAUGGAACCAACCGCUCUUUGUUCGAAAGCUUUCCUACCGUUUGCGUUCUAGCGAGAGAUCUACCGGAUUCCUCACUUUCUAGAUACUUCUCACGGCCAAUUCUAGUCACCGUAGUAAUGGAUCAGCAGCAGCAGCAACAACAAAUCAAUCCAGGAUUGACGCGAUAUAGAUCUGCUCCGAGCUCGUAUUUUACGAGUUUGCUCAACAGCAGCGGAGGAGGAGGAGGAGAAGAGAAAUUUGAUCAAUUUCUCAAGCCUCAUCCCUACAAUUCCUCCAGAUUUGCUCCUGGUGUAACCAGAGACGAUUCAUCUUUGCACAACACGCCUGAAUUUGACGAAAGUGAAGGUCUUAGGUCUCAAUCGUCCGCAUCGAUAGACCAUCAAUCUGAAGAUUUUCAGAAUCGUCAACCGCAACAGGAUAAUAAUAAUACUGCUGCUGCAUACUCUUUCUCUGAACAAGUGAUGAAUCAGAAACCUUCCAUGGAUAAUUCUUUUAGAGCUGCGAAUUCUAUAAGAGGAGGAGGCCUCAGCAGUGCUGGUGCUGGUGCUGGUGGUGGGGGUGGAAUUAACCUUAUAAGACAAAGUAGUUCCCCUGCCGGAUUUCUCUCCUCCUACUUUAAUGCUGCCGAAAAUGACUUUAGUGAAAUGGGAGGAAUGGGAAAUUCUGGACUGCAUGAAGGUAAUACUUCUGAGUCAACAUUUUCCUCCAGCAGGUUGAGGGUUCAAAUGGACUUCUCAUCUCGACGAAUGGCUCCAAUCCCAGAAACUACCAAUAGUAUGGGGAUAGGAAGUCCUGAAGGUGAAAUUUUCGGUGAAGCUGCUGAGAGAAGUGGCGGAGGUUAUAUCCCGAGUUUCCCAAUUGAAUCAUGGGAUGAUUCAAUGAAUCUAUCCAGAUCUUUCUUAGAACUCGAAGAUGAUGACAUAAAACCAGAAGCUGACUUAAAUGCUAUAGAAAAUCAGAACGUUGAAGAUGACAAACCCACUUCCAACACUUUAUUGUCUCGCCACCUGAGUUUACCCCAAUCUACUAUGGAGAAGCUACUGCAGUUCCAAGAUUCAGUUCCUUUUAAGACGAGAGCAAAACGGGGUUGUGCUACUCACCCACGGAGUGUUGCUGAAAGGGUGAGAAGAACAAAGAUCAGUGAACGAAUAAGGAAAUUGCAAGAACUUGUUCCUAACAUGGACAAGCAAACGAACACUGCGGACAUGUUGGACCUGGCUGUUGAUUACAUUAAGGAACUUCAGAGACAAGCGAAGAUACUUACAGAGAGCCAAGCUAACUGUACUUGUCCCCAUAAGAACAACAGAUAACGCAAAAUCACACUUGCCUCUUGUAUGUGUGGGAAUGUGAAUAUUUCUUGAAGUUAUGAUAGGGCUUUGGAGUCACAAAGGGCAUCAUCGCUUUGUCCAUGUUUGUUUAUGGAUUUCAUCACACUUUUGUUGUAGAAUGGAUGGCAGAUUGCUAAUCCUGCCCCCAUCAGUUUACCCCUUCUGAAAAAACAUCUGGAGUAAGAUUUGCAUUUCUACCGCUGGUUCUAGACAUACAAAAUGAUUUGAAAGGUGAUUUUCAAGGAUUCCAAUUGUCUAACAGAUAAGCAUCUAGGUUGUAUAGGAUAACAUUUGUUUCCCAGUAGGAGCUUCCUUAUUAAGCAAACUUUGUGGAGCAAUUUAUAUUUACAUUGAAGUUUCUGUGAUAAAUGUAAAGUCCAAAAAUUUAUAUCUAAGUCUGGAUUACCACCAACAAGAACAUUUCUCUUAUUAGUGAGGAAAAGUAUAUGAAUAUUGCAUUUGGACAAUUGUUUUAAGUCGUUGAUUUGACAUCAUCAUUUGUCAUCACACCUCAUAAAGAAUUAUUUUCGUCGUAUCGAAAUGAAUGUUUUGGUACAAGCUAUGUCACAAGUAAGCCACGUACCUGAAUGCUUUUGUCAAUUAAGAAGUUAGAUGAUGCAUGAAUGAUUAGACAAUUGGGUGUUGACAAUUGAAGGCUUAGUCCAGAUAACUUAAUUGUAGAUCAAGAAAAGAAUGAAGGAUCCUUGUACAAGUAUGUCACAUACGUUUUCAUAUAAGCAGGAAGUUAUUAGGGAUUGUUGUAAAAGUCCAUUUUCCAUGUAUAAAAGGUCACAGUCACUUCAAUCUUGUGAAGACUAUCUAUCAGGAAAACAACAUCAAGUACCGUUUUCAAAUUUGAUGAUGUUAGAAGAAGAAAAUAUAACAUACCUCUAGGGUUUAUAAGAGAAAGGAGAUGAGAAAAGAG